UACGUAGGGUGCAAGCGUUGUCCGGAAUUAUUGGGCGUAAAGCGCGCGCAGGCGGUCCUUUAAGUCUGAUGUGAAAGCCCUCGGCUCAACCGAGGAGGGUCAUUGGAAACUGGAGGACUUGAGUGCAGAAGAGGAAAGUGGAAUUCCAAGUGUAGCGGUGAAAUGCCUAGAGAUUUGGAGGAACACCAGUGGCGAAGGCGACUUUCUGGUCUGUAACUGACGCUGAGGCGCGAAAGCGUGGGGAGCAAACAGG
rnacentral:rRNA from 1 species